rnacentral:rRNA from 1 species
UGGCUCAGGACGAACGCUGGCGGCGUGCCUAAUACAUGCAAGUAGAACGCUGAAGAGAGGAGCUUGCUCUUCUUGGAUGAGUUGCGAACGGGUGAGUAACGCGUAGGUAACCUGCCUUGUAGCGGGGGAUAACUAUUGGAAACGAUAGCUAAUACCGCAUAACAAUGGAUGACACAUGUCAUUUAUUUGAAAGGGGCAAUUGCUCCACUACAAGAUGGACCUGCGUUGUAUUAGCUAGUAGGUGAGGUAACGGCUCACCUAGGCGACGAUACAUAGCCGACCUGAGAGGGUGAUCGGCCACACUGGGACUGAGACACGGCCCAGACUCCUACGGGAGGCAGCAGUAGGGAAUCUUCGGCAAUGGGGGCAACCCUGACCGAGCAACGCCGCGUGAGUGAGGAAGGUUUUCGGAUCGUAAAGCUCUGUUGUAAGUCAAGAACGAGUGUGAGAGUGGAAAGUUCACACUGUGACGGUAGCUUACCAGAAAGGGACGGCUAACUACGUGCCAGCAGCCGCGGUAAUACGUAGGUCCCGAGCGUUGUCCGGAUUUAUUGGGCGUAAAGCGAGCGCAGGCGGUUUGAUAAGUCUGAAGUUAAAGGCUGUGGCUCAACCAUAGUUCGCUUUGGAAACUGUCAAACUUGAGUGCAGAAGGGGAGAGUGGAAUUCCAUGUGUAGCGGUGAAAUGCGUAGAUAUAUGGAGGAACACCGGUGGCGAAAGCGGCUCUCUGGUCUGUAACUGACGCUGAGGCUCGAAAGCGUGGGGAGCGAACAGGAUUAGAUACCCUGGUAGUCCACGCCGUAAACGAUGAGUGCUAGGUGUUGGAUCCUUUCCGGGAUUCAGUGCCGCAGCUAACGCAUUAAGCACUCCGCCUGGGGAGUACGACCGCAAGGUUGAAACUCAAAGGAAUUGACGGGGGCCCGCACAAGCGGUGGAGCAUGUGGUUUAAUUCGAAGCAACGCGAAGAACCUUACCAGGUCUUGACAUCCCGAUGCUAUUUCUAGAGAUAGAAAGUUACUUCGGUACAUCGGUGACAGGUGGUGCAUGGUUGUCGUCAGCUCGUGUCGUGAGAUGUUGGGUUAAGUCCCGCAACGAGCGCAACCCCUAUUGUUAGUUGCCAUCAUUCAGUUGGGCACUCUAGCGAGACUGCCGGUAAUAAACCGGAGGAAGGUGGGGAUGACGUCAAAUCAUCAUGCCCCUUAUGACCUGGGCUACACACGUGCUACAAUGGUUGGUACAACGAGUUGCGAGUCGGUGACGGCAAGCUAAUCUCUUAAAGCCAAUCUCAGUUCGGAUUGUAGGCUGCAACUCGCCUACAUGAAGUCGGAAUCGCUAGUAAUCGCGGAUCAGCACGCCGCGGUGAAUACGUUCCCGGGCCUUGUACACACCGCCCGUCACACCACGAGAGUUUGUAACACCCGAAGUCGGUGAGGUAACCUUUUGGAGCCAGCCGCCUAAGGUGGGAUAGAUGA